rnacentral:tRNA from 1 species
CGGGGCGUAGCUCAGCUUGGUUAGAGUGCGGCGUUCGGGACGCCGAGGUCGGCCGUUCGAAUCGGCUCGCCCCGA